rnacentral:rRNA from 1 species
ACUCCUACGGGAGGCAGCAGUAGGGAAUCUUCGGCAAUGGACGAAAGUCUGACCGAGCAACGCCGCGUGAGUGAAGAAGGUUUUCGGAUCGUAAAACUCUGUUGUUAGAGAAGAACAAGUGAUAGAGUAACUGUUAUCACCUUGACGGUAUCUAACCAGAAAGCCACGGCUAACUACGUGCCAGCAGCCGCGGUAAUACGUAGGUGGCAAGCGUUGUCCGGAUUUAUUGGGCGUAAAGCGAGCGCAGGCGGUCUUUUAAGUCUGAUGUGAAAGCCCUCGGCUCAACCGAGGAAGGUCAUUGGAAACUGGAAGACUUGAGUGCAGAAGAGGAGAGUGGAAUUCCAUGUGUAGCGGUGAAAUGCGUAGAUAUAUGGAGGAACACCAGUGGCGAAGGCGACUCUCUGGUCUGUAACUGACGCUGAGGCUCGAAAGCGUGGGGAGCAAACAGGAUUAGAUACCCUGCUGA